rnacentral:rRNA from 1 species
ACAGGUUGAUAUUCCUGUACUACCGAUAACCGUUUGAGAGAAGGGAUGACACAGUAGGAUAAGCUAAGCACACUGUUGGUUAUGUGUGCCCAAGCAUUGAGGCAGUCAAAGUAGGCAAAUCCGCUUUGAUAAUGCUGGGAUGUGAUGGGGAGCGAAAUUUAGUAGCGAAGUAGCUGAUUUCACACUGUCAAGAAAAGUCUCUAUCGAGGUUAAAGGUACCCGUACCGCAAACCGACACAGGUGGGUGAGGAGAGUAUCCUAAGGCCAGCGAGAGAACUGUUGUUAAGGAACUCGGCAAAAUGACCCCGUAACUUAGGGAUAAGGGGUGCCACCAUCAGGUGGCCGCAGAGAAUAGGCCCAAGCGACUGUUUACCAAAAACAUAGGUUUCUGCUAAGUCGCAAGACGAUGUAUAGGAGCUGACGCCUGCCCGGUGCUGGAAGGUUAAGGGGAUCUGUUAGAGCAAUCGAAGCAGUGAACUUAAGCCCCAGUAAACGGCGGCCGUAACUAUAACGGUCCUAAGGUAGCGAAAUUCCUUGUCGGGUAAGUUCCGACCCGCACGAAAGGCGUAACGAUUUGGGCACUGUCUCAACAACAGACUCGGUGAAAUUGUAAUUCCGGUGAAGAUGCCGGAUACCUGCGACAGGACGGAAAGACCCCAUGGAGCUU